GGGAAGAUAUGGUCAGUAAAGGAAUGGGGCAAGUUCAGGUAGAACUUUGUAGACAGUUGUAAGGAUUAUGGACUCUGAUGAUACAAAGAGUCAGUGGAACACCUUGAUCUCUGGAGUGAAUGACAGGACAAGUUUUAAAAGCACUAUUCUGGCAGUUGUGUUGAAAGGUUUCAUCUUUAUACACGGCUCACUGAAGCUCUGA
rnacentral:lncRNA from 1 species